GACGAACGCUGGCGGCGUGCUUAACACAUGCAAGUCGAGCGGAGCGGCGAACGGGUGAGUAACGCGUGAGUAACUGCCCCCCUCUCUGGGAUACCAGUUGGAAACGGCUGCUAAUACCGGAUAGUGGGGGAUGACUCGCGUCCUAUGAGCUUGUUGGUGGGGUAGUGGCCUACCAAGGCGACGACGGGUAGCCGGCCUGGGAGGGCGACCGGCCACAUUGUGCUGAGGGACGGCCCAAACUCCUACGGGAGGCAGCAGUGGGGAAUAUGGCAGAAUGGGGGAAACCCUGAGGAAGCAACGCCGCGUGCGGGAUGACGGCCUUCGGGUUGUAAACCGCUUUCAGCCAUGACGCGGUAGUGGAAGAGAAAGCACCGGCUAACUACGUGCCAGCAGCCGCGGUAAUUC
rnacentral:rRNA from 1 species